UACAGGGGGGGCAAGCGUUGUUCGGAAUUACUGGGCGUAAAGGGCUCGUAGGCGGCCAACUAAGUCACACGUGAAAUCCCCAGGCUUAACCUGGGAACUGCGUGUGAUACUGGAUGGCUUGAAUCCGGGAGAGGGAUGCGGAAUUCCAGGUGUAGCGGUGAAAUGCGUAGAUAUCUGGAGGAACACCGGUGGCGAAGGCGGCAUCCUGGACCGGUAUUGACGCUGAGACGCGAAAGCGUGGGGAGCAAACAGG
rnacentral:rRNA from 1 species